CGGGAUGUAGCUCAGUUUGGCUAGAGCACCUGCUUUGGGAGCAGGGGGCCGCAGGUUCAAAUCCUGUCAUCCCGACCA
rnacentral:tRNA from 1 species